rfam:Blumeria graminis f. sp. hordei DH14, WGS project CATH01000000 data, contig: 012043
CACACAUCGUAGUCGGAUACGAAUAGGCCUAUGGCCCUGAAUCUUAGCUAGUUGGCAAUGGGACAGCGGGAGAAGUCCACUGUCUCAGCUGACGCCUUGCAAUUUUACCAUGCGUGGGGAUAAAACCUUUGCAUACGACUUAGUUAUAUCAGACGGUGCUGUAAAUAGUAGAGUAGUCUUGUUAUUACGAUCUAUUGAGGCUAAGCCGCGCUGAUUUAGUUUUGU